rnacentral:rRNA from 1 species
GGUGAACGCUGGCGGCGUGCUUAAGACAUGCAAGUCGAACGGCAGUCUUCGGACUGUAGUGGCGCACGGGUGAGUAACGCGUAACUGACCUACCCCAAAGUCGCGGAUAACGAUUCGAAAGAAUCGCUAAUACGUGAUGUGCUGUCAGAUUGUGUUCUGCCAGUAAAGAUUGAUUGCUUUGGGAUGGGGUUGCGUUCCAUCAGCUAGUUGGUGGGGUAAAGGCCCACCAAGGCGACGACGGAUAGCCGGCCUGAGAGGGUGGCCGGCCACAGGGGCACUGGGACACGGGUCCCACUCCUACGGGAGGCAGCAGUUAGGAAUCUUCCACAAUGGGCGAAAGCCUGAUGGAGCGACGCCGCGUGAGGGAUGAAGGUCUUCGGAUCGUAAACCUCUGAAUCAGGGACGAAAGACACUUCGGUGGGAUGACGGUACCUGUGUAAUAGCACCGGCUAACUCCGUGCCAGCCGCCGCCGUAAAAC